rnacentral:rRNA from 1 species
CCCCACCCUCGUGACCUCCUCUUUGACUCCUUGGAGUAGGGUCCAAGUCUCCUGGAUCACAUUCGGUGAGAAAAUCACGUUCCCGAAGGUUUUAUUCCGUUUGGACUCCUUUUGAUAUUCUGUUUCUCCGAAACACUGAAAUAGGCAAAAAACAGCAAUUCUGGGCUGGGCCUCCGGUUAAUAGGUUAGUCCCAAAAAUAAUAUAAAAGUGGAAAAUAAAGCCCAAUAUAGUCCAAAACAGUAGA